rnacentral:rRNA from 1 species
CAGGCCUAACACAUGCAAGUCGAACGAGAAAGUGGAGCAAUCCAUGAGUAAAGUGGCGACCGGGUGAGUAACACGUGACUAACCUACCCUCGAGUGGGGAAUAACUCCGGGAAACCGGAGCUAAUACCGCAUAACAUCUUCGGAACUCGGGUUCUGUUGAUCAAAGGAGCAAUUCGCUUGAGGAGGGAGUCGCGGCUGAUUAGCUAGUUGGCGGGGUAAUGGCCCACCAAGGCUUAGAUCGGUAGCCGGCCUGAGAGGGCGCACGGCCACACUGGAACUGAAACACGGUCCAGACUCCUACGGGAGGCAGCAGUGGGGAAUUUUGCGCAAUGGGGGAAACCCUGACGCAGCAACGCCGCGUGGAGGAUGAAGCCCCUUGGGGUGUAAACUCCUUUCGAUCGGGACGAUUAUGACGGUACCGGAUGAAGAAGCACCGGCUAACUCUGUGCCAGCAGCCGCGGUAAUAC